CGGCAGGCGCCGGCGCGAACUUCCCCGGCCCCAUUGCUUGUGGACCGAGGAACCUCGCCGGAGAGCGCCGGCGCGACUUCCCUGGCCCCACAUAGAGGACCGGUUGAACCUCGCCCAAGAUCCCUGACCUGUUGGUCAAUAAAGUUCUUUCUUUCCUACCACUUGCCUCCAGCGCCUCUUUCCUGGCCAAAAGGAAUUAGAUAAAUCAGGUGGUGCCGAAACCCGGGAGGAGACCCCUCCUCAGGGUCCCCCAAGGUCCGGGGAGCCUCCUCCUUCCACGCUGCGGACGGACCAGGACCCAAAGAACCGCUUUCUACCAAUCCAUUCCUCUAGAAUCUCCUGGGGUAAGUGCCCUUUGUCUUUCUUUCCCACUCCUUGGCCAAGAAGCCCUGCGCAGGCCCAAGGCCACUUUUGGGGUCACCAGGUGACCCAUAGGAAGCCUUCUGAGACAGAGACGUCUGCUCGGAAGUCUCUCCAUCCACUUACGGCUCCGCGAGCCGCCGGUCUCUAGUGAUUCCAAAGGACGCUUUGGAGUCAGCCAGAGCCCGGUUUCCAUGAGCCAAGGAAAGGCAGUGGGUAAUCCCCAGUCCAAAAUUCCGCGAGACACCCCUUUAGGGUGUUUAUUAGGCAACCUAAAAAACCUACAAUUAGAGCAGGAUCUAAAGUGAAAGCGACUAAUUUUCCUCUCCACUCUGGCGUGGCCGCAAUGUAAACUAGACAAUCAGUCCCAAUGGCCGCCUGCCCGAAGGCACCCUAGAUCGUGAUACUUUAAUCGACCUCGGCAAUUUUUGCCGGCGCCUAGGCAAGUGGUCUGAAAUAAAUUAUAUACAAGGAUUUUGGGAUUUACGCUCUCGACCAGACUUAUGUAGUCAAUGCUCCUUGGCCCAAGUUAUGUUGGCCAGGGCUGGGGUCCCCAUGGGGUGGGACAAAGAGGAGUCAUCCUUCCUGUCCGACCUGUCCGAGGAUCUCAGAAACUCCCAUUUCAGACCUCCAGCAGCCGCCGCCUCCCCUCCUCUUCCACCCUAUACUUCGCCCCCUUCCACUUCCACCUCUACCUUGGCUCCACCUGCCGCCCCUUUCCCCGCCCCCCUCGGCACCUCCCUCUCGCCACCUUGAUUCACCCAUAUCCUCUCACACCCGUUCCCAAAAUUGUUCAGGCCCUGCUCCUACCCCCACUCCUACCCCUCAACCCCCUACGGUUCUGCCCCCCCCACGCGAGGUGGCCGGUGCAGAAGGUGUAGUCAGGGUCCAUGUCCCUUUCUCACUAGCAGAUCUUUCCAAGAUUGAAAAACGCUUAGGAGACUUCUCUGCCAACUCUACGGUUUAUACCGAAGAAUUCAGGUACCUGUGCCAGGUCUACAAUCUAACCUGGCACGACCUCCAUGUCAUUCUUACCUCUACUCUAAACCCUGAGGAGCGAGAGUGCAUCCUAGCGGCAGCCAGGCAGCAUGCAGAUCAGUUACACUUAACGGAUGCUGCUGUUCCAGUAGGGGAAGAAACAAGCAGUCCCAUCUAUUGAGUCCCAUCUACUACCAAGUAGGCCAGCCGGGUCGCCGAAGUCGAGACAUCAUGACCCAAUGCCUCCUGGCAGGACCCUGGGAGCUCCUUCCAGCUCUUACACCUAGACGACGACUGAAAGCGCCUGGACUUGGGGACCCCCAUCACCCUCGCCCAAGCCUCGGGUAACUCUUCAGGUAGCGGGUAAGCCAGUUUCUUUUCUUGUGGAUAUGGGGGUACCCACUCUGUUUUGCCAUCAUUUAGUGGACCUAGUCACCCAUCUCAUAUUUCAGUUAUAGGAGUUGGAGGCACUCCGUCUAGUCCUCUUAGAACACCACCUCUUAAUUGCUGCCUGGCCAAUAACUAUUUUGCACACUUGUUCCUCAUCAUCCCCUCAUGCCCCACUCCUCUACUAGGCCGAGAUAUCCUAAGUCAACUGAAAGCCUGUAUCUCUCUUCCUACUAGCUCCCCCCACCCCGCCUGCCAUCUACUUCUAGUAUUAACUAACUCAAAUGACUCCAACAACCCCACUAACCCUUUCCCUAAUUUCCCCAUUCCUAUAGACCCCCAAGUGUGGGACACCUCCACUCCUGUCGUGGUGGACCAUCAUCCACCAAUACUCAUAAAACUUAAAAACCCAUCUCAGUUUCCAACCUGCCCACAGUUCUCUCUCUCCACAACACUUACGAGGACUAAAACCAAUCAUUACUAGGUUACUCAGCCAACACAUCCUCAUCCCCACUCAUUCUCCCUGUAACACCCCAAUCCUACCCGUAAAGAAGGCAGAUGGGACUUUUUGGUUAGUGCAAGAUCUUCGUCUUAUCAUUGAGGCUGUUUGCCCCACCCAUCCAUAGUUCACAAUCCCUAUACCCUUCCCUCUCAUCCCAUCUAACACAACACACUUUACUGUACCAGAUCUAAAAGAUGCAUUUUUCUCUAUUCCCUUACAUCCAGACUGUCAGUGUCUCUUUGCCUUUACAUGGGAAGACCCAGACACCCAUGCCUCCACCCAACUGACAUGGACAGUGCUUCCCCAAGAUAGCCCCCAUUUCUUUGGGCAAGCCCCUGCAAAAGACUUGGCCUCCUGCCCUCUUAAAAAUAGUAAAAUUCUCCAAUAUGUAGAUGACCUUUUAGUCUGUAGUCCCACGAGACAGGACUCUCUUUUAGACACUGCAAUCCUCCUUCAUCAUCUAGGAUCCAGAGGUUACCGAGUAUCUAAACACAAAGCUGAACUCUCACAACAAUGUGUCAUAUAUUUAGGCAUUGAAAUCACUCCCACAACGCGCUCGCUCACCACAGACCGUUUAACUCUAAUACAAAAUCUUUCUCCUCCCCAAGACGCUAAAGAAAUCCAAUCCUUCCUAGGCCUCGUAGGGUUUUUCAGACACUGGAUUCCUAAUUUCGGAAUCUUGGCUAAACCUCUAUAUGCAGCUGUCAAGGAGACUCCCCAAGGACCUUUGUCUAACCCAAAGUUAAUCUAUAAACAUUUCACUCACCUAAAAAACUGCCUUCUCUCACAUCCUACUCUCUCACUCCCAGACUUCCAACGCCCCUUCCAGCUUUUCACAGAUAAAGACAAAAAGUUGCUAUUGGCCUUUUAGUCCAACCUGUAGGCACCACAUACCGUCCUGUGGCAUAUCUAUCCAAUUAGAUCCCACUGUACAAGGGUGGUAGCCCUGCCUUCGGGCCCUAGCAGUAGCAGCCUGUCUAACCCUGGAAGCGAAGAAACUCAUCAGAGGCUGCAGCCUGACAGUCUUCUCUACCCACCACCUUCAAGACCUUAUUGCCCACAAAAGUAUCAGCCACCUAACCCCGUCCAGGCUUCAACUUUUCCACCUCUUGUUCAUAGAAGACUCUACCAUUGCCCUAGGAGUCUGCUCCUCUCUAAAUCCAGCAACCUUACUCCCCAACCCUCUCAAACAACCCCAUACUGAACACUCCUGUCCAGAACUUUUAGAGGCCCAACCACCUAGUCACUUACAUUUACAUGACCAACCUUUGGAGAGCCCACAGUUAACCCUAUUUGUAGAUGGCAGUUCCUUUAUAAAUUCUCAAGGAAACAGACAGGCAGGAUACGCGGUAGUUAUGUCAUCCACUGUUCUAGAAGCUAAGCCUUUACCACAAGGAACAACAUCACAGCAGGCGGAGCUUAUCGCACUAACUAGGGCUCUCCUCCUAUCUAGAGGAAAAACAGUAAACAUAUACACAGAUUCUAAGUAUGCCUUCUUAAUUGCACACACCCAUUCUGUCAUCUGGAAAGAAAGAGGGUUCCUAACCACCUGUGGUACCCCCAUAAUCAACAAAAAGCAAAUACUUAAACUGCUAGACGCUUUAUCAGCACCUUCCAAAGCAGCCAUCAUACACUGUAAAGGUCAUCAGAUUCCAUCUAACCCGGUGGCAGCUGGCAACAAUUUUGCUGACACCACUGCCAAAUCGGCUGCUGGAUUCUCCACCCCUACAUUUCCUUCUGUUUGUUUUCUUUCUCCCUAAUAUACCCCUAAUUACACCCAGGAAGUAAAAAGCAAAGUAUUAUAAGACUCAACAGCCAGACUAGCCACAGACAAUUGGAUUUACAUCAAUAAUAAAUUAGUUAUUCCUAAAACACAACUCCACACCGUCUUAAGACACAUACAUAAUUCCUUGCACAUAGGACCCAGAGCUCUGUAUAACCUUCUAAGCCCCCUUAUCCACUGCCCUACACUCAUGAAACACCUAAUUAUAAUCAACCAACAGCGCUCCACAUGCCUCAAGUCAAAUCCUCAAGGCGCAUUACGCAACUCCCACCCAAGUCACCAACUCAGAGGACACCAACCAGGCGAAGAUUGGCAAAUUGAUUUUACCCACAUGCUAAAACAUAAAAUAUUCAAAUAUCUCUUAACCCUCGUUGAUACCUUUUCAGGAUGGAUAGAGGCCUGUCCACAGGAGAGACUGCCAAUGUAGGGGCCUCCAUACUCACUGAACACAUUAUUCCUAGGUUCGGCCUCCCACUCACCCUCCAGUCUGACAAUGGCCCAGCCUUCAUCUCCAAGGUAUUCCAACAGGUGGCAGCCCUCCUCCACAUCACCUGGAAACUCCACAUCCCUUAUAGACCCCAGUCCUCAGGAUCCAAGAAAUCACCCGAGUCACCUUCAAUCAAAUGCUCCCGCAUCCCUACACCCAACUGCCAACCUCAGAACCUAACUACACCCCUUAACAGCAAGAAGCAGCCAGACAGACAACGGCGCCCCGGAUUGUUAUAAUCAAUAAGAGGUUGGACUGUCUGGGUGAAGGGGAAAAGGACAAGAUGGAGGGAGGUGAACAGAAAAGAUGCAGCCCCUACUACUUCCGGGUUCUUCAUCAUCCAACUUACCCGCAUGUGGGAAAAUGCAGCCUGCGCCGGGAAAAAAGCAGACCAAUGGAGCAGGCGUGAGGUGAGGACAAUUUGAGGAAACAGAAACUUACUAUGGAGACGUCCCUGGCACGCCCUUAUCCCACCCACUGCCCUCCCAUUUCCAAGCCGAGGACAUAAAAGUCGAGGCCGGCAGGCACCGGCGCGAACUUCCCCGGCCCCAUUGCUUGUGGACCGAGGAACCUCGCCCGAGAGCGCCGGCUCGACUUCUCUGGCCCCACUUAGAGGACCGGUGAACCUCGCCCAAGAGCCCUGACCUGUUGGUCAAUAAAGUUAUUUCUUUUCUAC